GUAGGUGGCAAGCGUUGUCCGGAAUUAUUGGGGCGUAGAGCGCGCGCAGGCGGUUCUUUAAGUCUGAUGUGAAAGCCCACGGGCUCAACCGUGGAGGGUCAUUGGAAACUGGAGAACUUGAGUACAGAAGAGGAAAGCGGAAUUCCACGUGUAGCGGUGAAAUGCGUAGAGAUGUGGAGGAACACCAGUGGCGAAGGCGGCUUUCUGGUCUGUAACUGACGCUGAGGCGCGAAAGCGUGGGGAGCAAACAGGAUUAGAUACCCUGGUAGUCCACGCCGUAAACGAUGAGUGCUAAGUGCUAGGGGGUUUCCGCCCCUUAGUGCUGCAGCUAACGCAUUAAGCACUCCGCCUGGGGAGUACGGCCGCAAGGCUG
rnacentral:rRNA from 1 species